GUUGCUGGAAGUGAGGUACCACAAGAACCACUCCUCCCAUUGUUUUAGGUAAGGCUCUGUACAACUAUCGUCCUUCCCAUGUUUAUCUGUACCAAGGCCAUAGAAGACUUCCAACAUUAGGCAGACACUUAGACAAACGCAUCCUGCUCAGCUGACUGAGACUUCCUCUGCUUGCAAAACAAUCGCACUAUACACCACCCUGCCCUUGCCUACUCCUCCCUGUACACGACUAAAGCAAACCACCUCACCACCACACCUGGAUCCUGCCAUCCGGAUGGCUCUCCCUAGUUCAAUAGCCCUGAGGGAGGCAGGGAAGAGUCAAUGGGACAACACCAGAAACUGUUAAGACACUGGACAGCUACUUCUAAGGACAAUUAUUUCGCCAGAUGAGAAGGCUACCCCUUUAAAUGACUGCUUGUGCUCCUUGGAAGUUCUUUUUUGUUUCAGCAAAGAUCCUCCAGGGAGACUUACAAAGAACCAGUCCAACUCACCAAGUCACUCUGAAAGGGUCUUGCAGACGUCUACCAUCUAAGAAGCAACACUAUCAAGUGGGCAGAAGAUCUCUAAAGCUCAAACAUGUGCAGAUGUCUUGCAUUCUAACCUAGCCCACCAAAUGAGUGGUCUGACAGGCAGUAGAAAUACAUACCCUAGACCAGUGGUCCCUAGCCAUUCUGGUGCCAACUAUUGGUUUGGUGGAGAUAAGUUUUCCACAGACAGGAGUGGAGGGGGAUGGUUUGGGGAAGAUUCAAAGGACACAACCUCAAUCCCUUGAGUGCAAAGUUGACAGUAGGAUUCAAGUUCCUGUGAGAAUGUAAUGCCACCGCUGAUCUGACAGGAAGUGGAGUUCAGGCAGUAAUGUGAGCAAUCGGAAGCAGUUCUCUCACCUACCUCUCACUGCCUGCUGUGUGGCCCUGUUCCUACCAGGCCUUGGACAGGGUAUCAGACUGUGGCCUGGGGGUUGGGGACCCUUUUCCUAGAUUCCUCAUCUUGAAGACACCCCCAACACCACAUAAAAACCUCAACCCAAACUACAGUGCAUCUCACUCUACAAACACCUGCACCGUCCUCUAAGUGUAAACUUCUUUCUGGCUAAUAAACCUCUGUAUGCCUCUCCCUG
rnacentral:lncRNA from 1 species